rnacentral:rRNA from 1 species
UAGGGAAUCUUCGGCAAUGGGGGCAACCCUGACCGAGCAACGCCGCGUGAGUGAAGAAGGUUUUCGGAUCGUAAAGCUCUGUUGUAAGAGAAGAACGAGUGUGAGAGUGGAAAGUUCACACUGUGACGGUAACUUACCAGAAAGGGACGGCUAACUACGUGCCAGCAGCCGCGGUAAUACGUAGGUCCCGAGCGUUAUCCGGAUUUAUUGGGCGUAAAGCGAGCGCAGGCGGUUAGAUAAGUCUGAAGUUAAAGGCUGUGGCUUAACCAUAGUACGCUUUGGAAACUGUUUAACUUGAGUGCAGAAGGGGAGAGUGGAAUUCCAUGUGUAGCGGUGAAAUGCGUAGAUAUAUGGAGGAACACCGGUGGCGAAAGCGGCUCUCUGGUCUGUAACUGACGCUGAGGCUCGAAAGCGUGGGGAGCAAACAGGAUUAGAUACCCUGGUAGUCCACGCCGUNNCGAUGAGUGCUAGGUGUUGGGUCCUUUCCGGGACUCAGUGCCGCAGCUAACGCAUUAAGCACUCCGCCUGGGGAGUACGACCGCAAGGUUG